UACGUAGGGUGCAAGCGUUAAUCGGAAUUACUGGGCGUAAAGCGCACGUAGGCGGCUUUGCAAGACAGAUGUGAAAUCCCCGGGCUCAACCUGGGAAUUGCAUUUGUGACUGCACGGCUAGAGUGUGUCAGAGGGGGGUAGAAUUCCACGUGUAGCAGUGAAAUGCGUAGAUAUGUGGAGGAAUACCGAUGGCGAAGGCAGCCCCCUGGGAUAACACUGACGCUCAUGCACGAAAGCGUGGGGAGCAAACAGG
rnacentral:rRNA from 1 species